rnacentral:ncRNA from 22 species
CAUGGACCUGCCUUGGCAGGUGGCUAUGCCGGGCGCCUAUCCCUCGGCCAAUC